CCCAAGGUCACUGCGUUUGUGAAAGGGAGCUUGCCCAGCUGCCUGCAGCAGGCCCGAGUCUGGGGUCGGCUCAGCCACUCUGGGCAUUUGGGUCCUUGAGUUUUACUUGGUGAAGGGAGAGGACAAGUGGAGGCCUCAGAGGGUCAAGUGAGUCACACCAGGCAGGAACACCACCCUGCUCUGGGCUCAGGGGGUUUUUCAACCCUGGAGAUUUUCUGCAGGCAGGGUUGCCCCAGGGCUCUGGCCAAAUUAGGAGACACUUUAUGGGGAAGGUGACAGGGCCAGGGCUGGAAGCAGCUCAAGCCAGAAUUUCUAUCUCUGAUGAGAUUUCCCUGGUCAGCAUCUUAAUGAAGACAGGGCUGCUGGGGCUCCAGGGCUGUGCACGCAGGCUUAAUUACUCCUUCACCUUUCUAUCCAUCCAUCCACUCAUCCAUCCACCCUUCCAUCCACCACCCAUCCAUCCACCCACCCUUCCAUCCAUCCAUCCAUCCAUCCAUCCAUCCAUCCAUCCAUCCACCCAUCCAUCUAAGCAUCCAUUCACUUGUGCAUGCAUACAUGCAUCCACCCACCUUUCUAUCCAUCCAUCCAUCCAUCCACCCACCCAUCCACAAUUGCAUCCCCUCCUUCUGCACAUGUUUCCCUGGAAUAACUCAAACACACCAGUCUAGAGCUGGGGGCUGGGAGGAAAAGAUUCAAAGGGAAAGAGCCAGGUCUAGUUUCUGCCCUCACAGAGCCACAGUCUGCUGGGGUGAAAGACAAGCAAAGUGGCUGCAUCCGUCCACAUGGAGAAGGGUUGGCUGACAGCAGCACUGAGUGCUAAGAGGGUCAAGGAGGUUGUGUCAUGUGGAGGGGUGGGGCUUCCUGGAGGACAGACAGCAAAGCCAAGAUAUUGGAGGCCUUGUCUCCUGGGUGAAACUAGCUCUGCCCAUGGUGUCUUUUGAUACGGGAGGAGGAGACAGCACAAAUGUCCUUGUUGACCGCCCAUAUGGGGGUGGUGCUGCCAGCCUGCCCACGAGCCAUCUGCCUGGUUCCUUCCCUUCCCUGAACACGCUGGAGCCUGUGGGCUGUCAUGCUCCCUGCACAGUGGGCAGAUGCACAUGUGGGCCUUGGGCUCCUGCCCCACAAGGCGCCCAGCAGGCUGGUAUCCUGAUGAAGGGGUGGCCUGGUGAGGUCAGUGGGACCUGGGACGCUCCUCCUAGGGGCACAGCACCUUACAGUUCGGGAGGUGCUUCUCCAGUGUUUUGUUCAGUUCCUGUGACCGUCCAUCCUGGGACGGGCAAGGCAGGGCCCCUUGCUGCCUCCUGGAAGUGAAGACUGGGGCCUAGGUUUCAGUGAGUGUACAUGGCAGAGCCUGCAGGGGCAGGGCUGGGACGGGGCCUCAAGUUCUGUGUGCUUCAACCCCUCCUCCGAGGGAGCAGGGACGGUGCAGUGGGAGGGCACAGGGCUCCGGAGUUGAAAGCACUGGUGUCCUGUGGGGGUGCUUUCCACCCACACUGGGCUGGGAUUAAGCACAUGGGGUGUGGGCCUGGGCAGAACGGUGGAAGGCAGUGCCCUGGAGGCAGCGAUGGUGUCUCCUGCCAGGCUGUUUACUUUGGCAAACAGUGCUCGUGUGUGUGUGUGUGUGUGUGUGUGUGUGUGUGUGUGUGUGUGUGUGUGUUAAGAUACAUGUCAUCCCUCCCGGCUUUGGGAAGGCAUUCAACAGAGCACCUGCUAACAAGCUGGAGGCUCAGUUGUUCUCUGUACACACUCUUGAGGUCCCACCGUGGGCCGGGCCCUGUGCCUGUGGGGAGUCAGCCUUGGGUGUCUCCUCGGAGGCACUCUUGCCCUUUGGGGCUGGACCAUCAUUGUUUGUGAGGGGCCGGCCCGUGCAUUGUUGGGGGUUGAAGAGCAUCCCCGGCCUCUGCCCACUUGAGGCAGCAGCUCCCCCUCCUCUGUGACAGCCCAAGUGUCCCAGGCAUUGGGGGUAGAGGUAGGUGCCCCUCUAUAGCUAUGAGCACAGCAGACCCUCUGCUGACCUACUGCUGCUCACAGUGGGUGGGUGACAGAGAAGAAAUGGGACAGUUGCACUGCAGGGUGGUCCCCACAAAGACGGGGGAGCCCCGGAGGCUGUGGGGUGCCCUUGGAGUGCAGGCAAGUCAUGGGGGUAGGCGGCUUCUCAGCUGAAAUCAGAGACUCCACAGGAGGCAUUCAGAUGGAGACGGGGGACAGGCAUCCUAAGGGCUUGAGGCAGGCAAGGUGGGCACAGUCUCGGGGGCCAGGUUGGGUGUGGGGGCUGGAAGGGGGCCCAGCCAGUCCCAGAGCAGUGGGCAGGAGGGGCCAUGGGAGGCCCCUUUGUGGUCUGGCCCCUUUUCUGGCUGAUGAGGGGUUGGGUGGGAAGGGGGACCAGGAGACAGGGUCUCGGGCAUCUGGGAGGAGAAGGGGACUUUGCCGAGCUGGGGAGUCAGGCAGGACAGGCCAUGCCCAGGGCACCUGGUGACUCCUGACUCAAGCUAUCUCACUUCUUUUCCUCGCUUCUCCUGACCGCUGGAGGUCUGUGCUCUUAGAAGCUCCUGCUCUGGCCUCUGGCAGGAUGAGAGCAGAGCAGUUGGGAGCUUCCGUGGAGGGCAGCCUGACCUGGCAGAUCACUGAAGGUGAUAAUUAGAGGCUCAGGCUCACAGCUGCAUUAGAAAAGCUAGGAAGCACAAAGGGCCUCGGCAGGGAAGGCCAUUAGUCACCGGCCUAACUGCCCUGGCCGGGUCUGGUUGACCUGGGCGAGGACCUGGCUAUGCCCAUGUGGCUCCAACUUGUGGAUGCUGCCUCUGUGGGUGGGCGGCGGGACAGGCUCACCCCACUGGUGCUGGGGCAGUGGGGCCAGCCAGGCCUCACCAGCACAUGGACACCUCCCUCCUCCCUACUGAAGAGCUCGUGGGGUGGAGGGCGGCAUCCCGCUCUCCCCCUUCCUUGUGGAGGGACGUGAAGGGAGGCUGUGUUGGCCACAGGUCCUCCCUGUGGCCCACUCCUGGCCCCUCCACUGGCCAGGCUCCUCUUGUUCCCAGGCUGGAACUCCUGGCCCGUGUGGUCUUGCUGUUCCAGGAUGGAAUCGUCCCAUUUCUAAGGGGUACCUGAGAGGAGAUAGGGCAGGGCCAGAGAACUGGCCAUGAACAGUGGGACCCUGUGGGACAAUGGAAAAUCAACACCCUCCAAUGCGUUGGGGACAAGAUUUCCCAACACAUGCACCCCCAGCCUUCCCUCCCAGGAUGGCCCUCCCGACUGCCACGCCGAAGCCCCUAGCAUCCUGCCUUCAUCCUCUCCAGCCUAAAACUGCCGAUGGUGGCCACAAAGCUGGAACAUUCCCCAUGGCUCAGGCUGGCAUUUGAGACCCCGGGUUGUUGGCCUUGCCUCUUGGGACCCCCAACCCCCCAACACACCUGUUCCAGCUGCACAAUCCAUGGAGCACGCUGGGUGUGGCCGCCUCUGGCCAUGGUUGUGCCCUAGUGCCCUCACCUGCCUUCCCUUUAAGGCACAGCCAGCUCCACCUUCCUGGAGAACCCCCACCCUGCCCCCAUGGCUGCCCCCUCCUUUGGCUCCUCUCCACAUCCCCUGCACCCAACACCAUGUCUGGUGCACACUAGCUUAGUUAGGAGCACCUGCAUGCUGUCCUCUGGUCUCUACCACUGAGCUCAGCCCCAGGGGCCCUGAUGCCAUCCGGGCUGGUCAGAGCCUUCACAGGUCCCAUCUUCCGUAUCUCCUGCCCCCCAGACUGGUGGCGCCCCAUCCUUCCCUGGAGCAAGGGCCCUCCAGGCACUGCCCUGUUUCUCCCCCACCUCAUCCCUCCGUGGGUCACCGCCUCUCUGCCCACCUCCUUCCUCAUUUCUUGUCCUGCCCUUGUGGUGAGAAUAGGAUGCAAAAUCCUUCCACGAGACACCUUGUUGGGUGUGGGUUGGUGCAGGGGGCUCAGGGAAACUUUUCCUGUCCUGGGACUGAGGCCAGCUGCACAACCAGCAGGGUCCAGUGCCCAGUGGAAAUGUGGGCCUGUCAUCCAAAGGCUAAGAACUUCAGGAAGACAACAGCAGGCCCAUGCGGCUGCCGGGGCUGGAGGCAGCAGCCAGGGCCCCAGCCCUGCCUGGGAACCACGGUCCCAGGGGACGGCUGUCCGUAGCUCACCUCUGGAGCUUCUUCCUGGAGGAGGAGGGCAGCAUCAGACCGACUCUGUGGUCAGUGUGUACUCUGCUUUUCUAGAAACUCAGGGGCCAUGAAUUUGGACAAACAGCUGUGACAACGAGUGUUUGGUUGAAUCCACUGAGGGAGGAUGAGGCCACCGCCCUGGAAAAUCCCGGGGCUGAGUGGGGAGCAGGGCUUGGAGUCACACAGGCUCAGGCCUGUCUAUACCACCCUGGAGGACCUCGGACACAUGCAGCUCUCAGGAUCUCAGUUUUUUUAUUUGGGAAUUGAAGACGUGAACAACCCUGCCUGUCAGUGGCGGGACACGGUUAUGACCAGCUGUGGGGGAGAAGAGGCCCCCGGGGGCCUUUCCGCCCUCCAAGAUUGCAUGGGCUGUGGGGAGCGUCUGCAAGGGGCACAGGGUGGACGUGCUCCCAGCAGCCCCCUCCAGCUCUUCCCCCCUC
rnacentral:lncRNA from 1 species